AGCAGCCGCGGUAAUUCCAGCUCCAAUAGCGUAUAUUAAAGUUGUUGCAGUUAAAAGCUCGUAGUUGAAUUUCGGGGUUCGUAGAUUGGUCGUGCCACGGGUAUGUACUGGUCUUACUGAUUCCUCCUUCCUGAUGAACCGUAAUGCCAUUAAUUUGGUGUUGCGGGGAGACUGGACUGUUACUUUGAAAAAUUGAGUGUUUAAAGCAGGCUUACGCUUGAAUACAUUAGCAUGGAAUAAUGAAAUAGGACGUUCGAUCCUAUUUUGUUGGUUUCUAGGAUUGACGUAAUGAUUAAUAGGGAUAGUUGGGGGCAUUAGUAUUCAAUUGUCAGAGGUGAAAUUCUUGGAUUUAUUGAAGACUAACUACUGCGAAAGCAUUUGCCAAGGAUGUUUUCAUUAAUCAAGAACGAAAGUUAGGGAUCGAAGACGAUCAGAUACCGUCGUAGUCUU
rnacentral:rRNA from 1 species